UUUAAUGAGAGUUUGAUCCUGGCUCAGGACGAACGCUGGCGGCGUGCCUAAUACAUGCAAGUAGAACGCUGAUGUUUGGUGUUUACACUAGACUGAUGAGUUGCGAACGGGUGAGUAACGCGUAGGUAACCUGCCUCAUAGCGGGGGAUAACUAUUGGAAACGAUAGCUAAUACCGCAUAAGAGUGAUUAACACAUGUUAGUUAUUUAAAAGGAGCAAUUGCUUCACUGUGAGAUGGACCUGCGUUGUAUUAGCUAGUUGGUGAGGUAAAGGCUCACCAA
rnacentral:rRNA from 1 species